rnacentral:rRNA from 1 species
CCUACGGGUGGCAGCAGUGAGGAAUAUUGGUCAAUGGCCGGAAGGCUGAACCAGCCAAGCCGCGUGAGGGAGGAAGGCGCAGAGCGUCGCAGACCUCUUUUGCCGGGGGGAAAAAGGCAGGCCGGGUCCGGUUCUGAGGGUACCCGGAGAAUAAGCAUCGGGUAACUCCGUGCCAGCAGCCUCGGUAAUACGGAGGAUGCGAGCGUUAUCCGGUUUCAUUGGGUUUAAAGGGUGCGUAGGCGGGCGGUUAAGUCAGCGGGAAAAGCCAGGGGCUCAACCCCGGCGAGCCGUUGAAACUGGCUGUCUUGAGAUGUCGAGAGGUAUGCGGAAUGCGCAGUGUAGCGGUGAAAUGCUUAGAUAUUGCGCAGAACUCCGAUUGCGAAGGCAGCAUACCGGCGGCGAUCUGACGCUGAGGCACGAAAGCGUGGGUAUCGAACAGGAUUAGAUACCCUUGUAGUC